rnacentral:tRNA from 1 species
GUUGAUUUGGCAGAUUAGUGCAUUAAAUUUAGAAUUUAAUUAAGUAAUAUAUUUACAUUCAUCA